GGGCAGUCGAUCACCAUAAUCGUGCCUACGGAACGACUCAGCGAGGAACAAUCGAUCCUUCAAACACUCCGUCGCGGCGACCGCAUCGAACACUUUGAGACGAUAAGGCUCACAAAGGACGGCAGACGCAUUCCAAUUUCAUUAACCGUUUCUCCAAUAAAGAAUCGUGCGGGAGAAAUAAUCGGAGCGUCAAAGAUCGCUCGAGACAUUACUCAGCAAAAAGUUCUUGAGCAAGAACGUGAAAGACUACUUGUGCGUGAACAACAACUUCGUACUGAAGCUCAGGCUGCAAGUAAGCUCAAAGAUGAAUUCCUUGCCACAGUCUCACAUGAAUUACGAACACCACUGAAUGCAAUCCUUGGUUGGGGAACAAUGCUAAGACAUCGCGAAGUUCCGCCUGACAUGCUGAAAAGCGGAAUC
rnacentral:misc_RNA from 1 species